rnacentral:rRNA from 1 species
GAUGAACGCUAGCUACAGGCUUAACACAUGCAAGUCGCGGGGCAGCAUGGGGGUUGCCUGCAACCCCUGAUGGCGACCGGCGCACGGGUGAGUAACGCGUAUCCAACCUGCCCUUCACCACGGGAUAACCCGGCGAAAGUCGGACUAAUACCGUAUGUUGUCCAUUGACGGCAUCCGAUUUGGACGAAAGGCUUUGCGGUGAGGGAUGGGGAUGCGUCCGAUUAGCUUGACGGCGGGGUAACGGCCCACCGUGGCUACGAUCGGUAGGGGUUUGAGAGGAAGGUCCCCCACACUGGAACUGAGACACGGUCCAGACUCCUACGGGAGGCAGCAGUGAGGAAUAUUGGUCAAUGGGCGGAAGCCUGAACCAGCCAAGUAGCGUGCAGGAUGACGGCCCUAUGGGUUGUAAACUGCUUUUAUGCGGGGAUAAAGGAGCCCA